AAAUCCACCACGGCCACCGAAUCCACCACGACCGCCAAAUCCACCGCGACCACCACGGCUACCUCCACCAGUACGAGGAGUUGAAAAGUCCAAACGACAUGGGCGACCAGCAAUAAAAUGACCGUUCAUUUCCACACAUUUCUUGGCAGAGUCAAUAUCAGAGAAAGUAACAUAACCGAAACCCUUAAGACGUCCUGACUGAGGAUCUGUGGGCAAACGAAUGGAUUGAAUGUCACCGCAACCGCCAAAAGCCGUACUGAGAUCAUCUUCAGUUGCGUUAAAAGACAAAUUUCCAACAAAUACGGUAUCACUAGGUUCAGAUAAUUGGUCUCCAAAAUUACCCGCACGUUGUUGAGCAUAUGGUUGAGGGUUGGCUGGGCGAGGAUUAGAGAGAUCUAAGUUGACCAUACGACCAUCAAUUUCCUUGGUACCAUUAGCGGCAACAGCAGCCUUAGCAGCCUCAGGGGUCUCAAAAUCAACGUAGCCGUAACCCUUUGAGCGACCGCUUUGGCCAUCCAUAAUAACACGUGCACCAACAAUUGUACCGUACUCUUCAAAUUCCUGCCCUAACCACUGAUCAUCUACGUUCCAAGAAAGACGACCGACGAAAACAGUGCAAGUCUCGUUAGAAUCUUGAGAAGGCUUGGUAAUCUUAGCAGGUCUUUCUUCAGAAGCAGGCUCGGCUUUACGUUUCUUCUCGUCUUCAGAGCUGGAUUCGGAUUCAGAAUCAGAGGAAGAGUCGCUGUCUCCAGAUUCUGAGGAGGAAUCUGACGAGGAUUCGGAGUCAGAAGAAGACUCGCUGGAGCCUUCUUUCUUCUCUUCAGUCUUCUCGACCACCUCUUCUUCUUCCUCAGAUUCAGAUGAGGAAGAUUCGGAUUCAGAUUCAGAUGAGGAAGACUCGGAAGAAGAGUCACUAGAGCUCUCCUUCUUUUCUUCAAUUUUUACAACAGCCUCUUCUUCCUCUUCAGACUCAGAGGAGGAAGAUGAUUCGCUGGAACUCUCCUUCUUCUCUUCAGUUUUCACAAUCACUUCUUCUUCAGACUCAGACGAAGAGGAUUCAGAUGAAGAUGAUUCGGACUCUGAAGAACUAGAUUCGGAUUCUGAAGAGGAAGACUCGGAUUCUGAUGAGCUAGAUUCAGACUCGGAUUCUGAGGAGCUUUCUUCCUUCUUCUUAGAUUUCUUUUGCUUUUUUACUGAUUUCUUUGAAGGUUCGGGACUAGAAGCACGCUUAGCCUCCUUUUUAGAUUUUUUAGGGGAGACAUCGGUUUUAGAGCUUUGCUUUGCAAUCUCUUUAGCAGCCUCCUUAGUAAUCUUCUUGGACUUGGAAGGUUUCUCAAUGGCACCCUUCUUUGAUGCAGUCUCCUUCACUGAUUUCUUAACGGAGGUUUUAUCCUUUUUUGCCAUUAUAUUCACAACCUAUACCAAAAGCCCGUUUAAAAGAAUUUGGGAGUUUUUUAGUUUGACUGCUGGUACGGCGCGACAAGCUGCUAUAUAUAGCCAAAAAAAUUUUUACCGAUGAUAUAUGUACCUGAAGCCGUAUACUAGUAUAGCAAAUUUUCUAGACGUAUUCGUUAAACUACUAAUAUAGAAGCUUGUUCAACUACUACUAUUUUUUAUAAAAGCGAGUUUAACUAAUUA